UGGGGAAUUUUGCACAAUGGGGGAAACCCUGAUGCAGCGACGCCGCGUGAUUUAGAAGGCCUUCGGGUUGUAAAAAUCUUUUGUAUAGGAAGAAAAUGACAGUACUAUACGAAUAAGGACCGGCUAAUUACGUGCCAGCAGCCGCGGUAAUACGUAGGUGGCAAGCGUUAUCCGGAAUUAUUGGGCGUAAAGCGCGCGUAGGCGGUUUUUUAAGUCUGAUGUGAAAGCCCACGGCUCAACCGUGGAGGGUCAUUGGAAACUGGAAAACUUGAGUGCAGAAGAGGAAAGUGGAAUUCCAUGUGUAGCGGUGAAAUGCGCAGAGAUAUGGAGGAACACCAGUGGCGAAGGCGACUUUCUGGUCUGUAACUGACGCUGAUGUGCGAAAGCGUGGGGAUCAAACAGG
rnacentral:rRNA from 1 species